ensembl:lncRNA
AUUAUAUAUGUAUAUUAUACUGUAUAUCACCCCAUGAAAACAAAACAACUGUCCAGCUCCAAAACUCCAGCUCUCAAACUCGUCCCAGCACACGGAUCAGUAACUUCAUUCCUGAACACACGUUUGAGCAUGAAGAGUGGAGCAGCCGGGAUCACAGGGAUGUUUUUACUGAACUCAGAAGCUGGAGGAUUGAGCACAACAAGUACUGAACCUUCUCUCACAUACACACACACACACACUCACUCUCUCAAACACACACACACACACACACACACAGUGUCACACACACACAGACACAAACACACACACACACACACACACACACUCACACACACACACACACACACACACACACACACACACACACACACACACACACACACACACACACACACACUUCCUGUUAAAAUGUGCUUUACACACACACACUCUCAAACAAACACACACACACACACACACUCAAACACACUCACACAAACACACACACACACACACACACACUUCCUGUUAAAAUGUGCUUUUCUUUUAACAGACGUCUGUUGGUUAUUGAGAAGGAGCGGCAGCCGCAGGUGAUGAGGAUCCACCACAGCGAUGAUGAAGAUGAUGAUGAAGGCAGUCACAGCCAUAGUUUCAGCAGCGAUGACAUCACUAGAGACACGAGCUCUCCUGAUUGGUCCGUUCAGUGUCCCUCAGCAGAAUCUGCAGAGAUGUUGAGACUCAGCUCUUCAUCAGGCUGUUCGAUGUCUCCCUCUCCUCCACCCAGAGCAGCAGCAGCGCCCCCUGCUGGCCGGAGGAUCACACAGCUCCGCACUCGGAGACUCAGAGCUCAUCCUGCAGACGUCAGUAAAGCCAGAGCAUCAGAGGAGACUCAUGGGACUGAGAGCAUGAUGACUGUAAGAUCUCAGACUGCGUGUCCUCAAAUCAUCCACAAACCUCACAGACCCUCCACCAGUCCUCUUAGAGCACAAUGGUCAGAAGCUACUGAGGAUCAUCAACACUCAGACAUCCAACAUAAACCAAUAAUAGGCUCUGAAAAACUGACGCCCAGACGCCCACAAACAGCCAGAGCUGCACUGCAGAGACUACCAGACCGGAAACAUCUGCCUGAAAUGAUGCAUUGUGGGUCAGAGAUCAUCCAUCUUCACUGCAGGUUCACACACUUUCAGAAACACUUUGAAGUUGUCACUGAAUCACUAGGGGGCGCUGUUUGUCUCUGCUUUGUUUCAGAAGUAUUUCAGGUUUGAUUGACAGGAGAGUCUCAGCACAGAUAUCAUGUGAUCUCUGACACAGACUGCAGAUCUAUUGGACGAUAAUGUCAGGUGACUGUGAUUGUGAACUCUGUUCUCCUGCGGUGGAUCUGCAGCAGCGCAGCUUCAUCUCUGGCAGAUUGCUAGCAUGUCUGCUCUUGCAGGUUCAGUGUUUGCAGGCAGGUGCAGGUGCAGUUAUUCCACACGUCUCUGAAAGAUUUUCCACAGAUGACAGUCAGAAACAGUGUUGUUCUGACAAACACCACAUAAUUUACUGGCCACAAUCUCCACAGGCUCUGAGCCUUUUAACCAUUUUGGGCAGAAUUUUGUAACGAGUUUUUUGUGCACAUCCAGAUAUAUGUUGUUAAUAUUUGGCAAAUGGAGGAUGGAAAAUUGUUAAUAAAGGCAAGUGGAGAAUGAAAAACAACGUUCUUUUUAUAUAUAUUUUUU